AUGGCCAAUGACCCACCCAUCCUAGCCCUCCCCGAAGACCGUGCGGCAUCCCAUCCGAAGCGCAGUGUCGCCCUGAGCAUUUUGGUAGCCGGGGCCUCGCCAGAGCUCCUGAUGGGCCUCUCCGGUGUGGCACUCCACAGCAAGCACCCCGGUGGUCCCAGCUCCAUCGGAGGUGGUCGAAGUCGCUGGGGCCAGCGCCAGCUACGCCACGGCCUCGCCUUUCCUCCGUCCCGCGAGCAGACGACUGGAGGUAGAAGAAGGAGCGAGAGGAGAGAGAAUGGAUAA
rnacentral:rRNA from 1 species